rnacentral:rRNA from 1 species
UGGGGAAUCUUCCGCAAUGGACGAAAGUCUGACGGAGCAACGCCGCGUGAGUGAUGACGGCCUUCGGGUUGUAAAGCUCUGUUAAUCGGGACGAAUGAUUCUUGUGCAAAUAGUGCGAGGAUUUGACGGUACCGGAAUAGAAAGCCACGGCUAACUACGUGCCAGCAGCCGCGGUAAUACGUAGGUGGCAAGCGUUGUCCGGAAUUAUUGGGCGUAAAGCGCGCGCAGGCGGAUUGGUCAGUCUGUCUUAAAAGUUCGGGGCUUAACCCCGUGAUGGGAUGGAAACUGCCAAUCUAGAGUAUCGGAGAGGAAAGUGGAAUUCCUAGUGUAGCGGUGAAAUGCGUAGAUAUUAGGAAGAACACCAGUGGCGAAGGCGACUUUCUGGACGAAAACUGACGCUGAGGCGCGAAAGCCAGGGGAGCGAACG